UACAGAGGUCCCAAGCGUUGUUCGGAUUCACUGGGCGUAAAGGGUGCGUAGGUGGCUGGGUAAGUUUGAUGUGAAAUCUCCGGGCUCAACCCGGAAAAUGCAUUGAAUACUAUCCAGCUAGAGGUUUGGAGGGGGGACUGGAAUUCUUGGUGUAGCAGUGAAAUGCGUAGAUAUCAGGAAGAACACCCGUGGCGAAGGCGGCUCUCUGGGACGGUACUGACGCUGAGACGCGAAAGCGUGGGGAGCGAACAGG
rnacentral:rRNA from 1 species